rnacentral:misc_RNA from 1 species
GGUUCGAUUCUGGCUCAGAUUGAACGCUGGCGGGAUGCUUUACACAUGCAAAGUCGAACGGCAGCACGGACUUCGGUCUGGUGGCGAGUGGCGAACGGGUGAGUAAUGUAUCGGAACGUGCCCUGCGUAGCGGGGGAUAACUGCGCGGCGUAGCUAAUGCCGCAUGCGCCCUUCCAGGGAAAGCGGGGACCUUCGGGCCUCGCACUAUUAGAGCAGCCGAUAUCGGAUUAGCUAGUUGGUGAAAUUAACGGCUCACCG